rnacentral:rRNA from 1 species
CCGGUGUGCUCUUGAGUUUUGAUUCGGUCGAGAGGCUACACAUGCAAGUCGAGCGGUACAGAGAGAAGCUUGCUUCUUUGCUGACGAGCGGCGGACGGGUGAGUAAUGCUUGGGAACAUGCCUUGAGGUGGGGGACAACAGUUGGAAACGACUGCUAAUACCGCAUAAUGUCUACGGACCAAAGGGGGCUUCGGCUCUCGCCUUUAGAUUGGCCCAAGUGGGAUUAGCUAGUUGGUGAGGUAAUGGCUCACCAAGGCGACGAUCCCUAGCUGGUUUGAGAGGAUGAUCAGCCACACUGGGACUGAGACACGGCCCAGACUCCUACGGGAGGCAGCAGUGGGGAAUAUUGCACAAUGGGCGCAAGCCUGAUGCAGCCAUGCCGCGUGUGUGAAGAAGGCCUUCGGGUUGUAAAGCACUUUCAGUCAGGAGGAAAGGUUAGUAGUUAAUACCUGCUAGCUGUGACGUUACUGACAGAAGAAGCACCGGCUAACUCCGUGCCAGCAGCCGCGGUAAUACGGAGGGUGCGAGCGUUAAUCGGAAUUACUGGGCGUAAAGCGUACGCAGGCGGUUUGUUAAGCGAGAUGUGAAAGCCCCGGGCUCAACCUGGGAACUGCAUUUCGAACUGGCAAACUAGAGUGUGAUAGAGGGUGGUAGAAUUUCAGGUGUAGCGGUGAAAUGCGUAGAGAUCUGAAGGAAUACCGAUGGCGAAGGCAGCCACCUGGGUCAACACUUGACGCUCAUGUACGAAAGCGUGGGGAGCAAACGGGAUUAGAUACCCCGGUAGUCCACGCCGUAAACGAUGUCUACUAGAAGUUCGGAGGCUCGGGUCUGUUUUUCAAAGUUACGCAUUAGUUAACCGUCGGGGAGUACGGCGCAGGUAAAAUCCAAUGAUUUGAGGGGGCCGCAAAGCGUGGAGCAUUGGUUAAUCCGAGCAAGGGAAAAACUUACUACUUGACUUCGAGACUUCCCAAAUGUUGGUGCUCGGAAUUGACAGGGGCGAGGCUUCCACUCGUUGGAAUUUGUAACCCAAAAGGACCUAUUUUUUCAACAUCG